AUCAAGGUGAUCUGAAGUCUAAACCCAACACUGAGGGAAAGCAGGUUUCCUCUAACAGGACAUCAAGGUGAUCUGAAGUCUAAACCCAACACUGAGGGAAGAAUAGUUUCCUAUAACAGGACAUCAAGGUGAUCUGAAGUCUAAACCCAACACUGAGGGAAGGCUGGUUUCCUCUAACAGGACAUCAAGGUGAUCUGAAGUCUAAACCCAACACUGAGGGAAGAAUAGUUUCCUCUAACAGGACAUCAAGGUGAUCUGAAGUCUAAACCCAACACUGAGGGAAGAAUAGUUUCCUAUAACAGGACAUCAAGGUGAUCUGAAGUCUAAACCCAACACUGAGGGAAGGCUGGUUUCCUCUAACAGGACAUCAAGGUGAUCUGAAGUCUAAACCCAACACUG